GACAGCAGUAGCCGCGGUAAUACGGAGGGUGCAAGCGUUAAUCGGAAUUACUGGGCGUAAAGCGCACGCAGGCGGUCUGACAAGUCAGAUGUGAAAUCCCCGGGCUUAACCUGGGAACUGCAUUUGAAACUGUCAGGCUGGAGUCUUGUAGAGGGGGGUGGAAUUCCAGGUGUAGCGGUGAAAUGCGUAGAGAUCUGGAGGAAUACCGGUGGCGAAGGCGGCCCCCUGGACAAAGACUGACGCUCAGGUGCGAAAGCGUGGGGAGCAAACAGGAUUAGAUACCCCUGUAGUCCCUGUCUCUUAUAA
rnacentral:rRNA from 1 species